ensembl:processed_transcript
ACUUCCGGCGCGCCCGCGGGUGCCCGCAGCGGGCAGGUCUCCAAGACAAGACUUGGCAAUUCCCAGGAUAAAGGAGUAUGGCUGUGCACGCUCAUACACACUGUGGCUUGAGUUUAGACGUAGAGAACAAAAUUGGCAAGAAUCAAUUCUCUUCGUAUGAGGAAGGGUAUGGGGAAGCAAAGGUCUCCAGACUUGACACACGACUGUUCAUGCUGACAUGAUCUGUGGCUGCAGCAGUGGCUGGAGCACUGUCCCUUUCAAGAGCUGGUCCUUGCACUGCUAUGCAGAUGGCCGCUUACUCAUCCUGGAAAUAAUUGGAGACAAUUUCAGUGAGAAACAAAGACUACUGCCAGUCCCAGAGGCUCUGCAUGGCUUUGGAAGACAAGUUUCUAUAUCAUGGUUUUGUAACAAUGGUAUAAAAAGUUGAAACAGAAGCAAGUAGCAUGGUAUGAGACUUCUCUCUAUUUGGAAAGCAAGCCAUGAGAACCAGUUCCCUGCCAGAAAGAGCCACCUCAGUCUGCUCCCUCUCUCCGCCUGGCUGUCACGUUCUGAGGUGACUAUUGUUAAGGAAGGAAUGCAGGCUCCUUUGUAAACACAGGAGAGCUGUGGUCCACAGACGCAGGCCCGGAGAUGUGCUUCACCUACAGCUUACCAUCUACCGUGGGAGUCAUCUCUAACUCUAUGAAAGCAGAGAGUCCACAGUGCCCAGAAUGGCUACAAUUUUCUUACCGUACUGUUUUGUGGAGUCAUCAAGGUUCAGACAGAGGAGACAUGGAGGGAAU